UGUGCCUACGGGACGCAGCAGUGGGGAAUAUUGGGCAAUGGGGGAAACCCUGAUCCAGCGACGCCGCGUGAGUGAAGAAGUAUUUCGGUAUGUAAAGCUCUAUCAGCAGGGAAGAAAAUGACGGUAUCUGACUAAGAAGCCCCGGCUAACUACGUGCCAGCAGCCGCGGUAAUACGUAGGGGGCAAGCGUUAUUCGGAUUUACUGGGCGUAAAGGGAGCGUAGACGGCAUAGCAAGUCUGAUGUGAAAGAUCGGAGCUCAACCCUGGGACUGCAUUGGAAACUGUUAAGCUGGAGUACAGGAGAG
rnacentral:rRNA from 1 species